GACCACUCCAUUGUAAAGGGGCGUUUCCCCCUCUGGAAGAUUGAUUUUCCAUCUGUAAAAUGGGGACGAGAAAGGGAGAAUGCAGUGCUGACCGCAUCAGCUGUAGCUGGCCUGGUGCUAGCAGCUUGGCCAUGGUACCCCCACCCAGAGCGACUUCACUGGACAGCUGUAUAUGGGAAGACUUCACGCUGACUGUGAUGAAACGAGACAGAAAUAAGAGCAUUCUGUGAUCACGUCUGAGUGCGGUGGCCUUUGCUGAGCUGGUACCUUGGACUGGGGGUAGUGGCCAUGAGCCUGCGGAGCAGAGGAUGGAAUCAAGAGCUCUCAUGGUGCUGGAUCCAACAGGACUUGAUAGAUUGCAGGUGAGGUCACGUAGGAAGAGAGCACUCAAGGAUGACUCCAUGGUUUUGGACAUGAACAGCGGGACAGAGGCAGAGGUCUUUUACUGAAAGAUGGAAGACGGCGGAGGGGCACGGGGUUGGAAAAAACUAGAGCUCCGUUGGAGACAGAAUCAGUUCAAGAUGCGCAUCGGUGGGCCAAGCCAUCUGUCUUCCACUACACUGUGCUGUGUCCCCAGUGUUGAGCCCAGUGCUUGGCGUGGAUCGGGCGCUCAGAAAGCAUUUGUUCAAUGAGAGAACCGAAAUGAUACGCUUAAAAGCUACAGAUGACUAAUGGCUUCUAGAACAACAGAUGAUCCAAAGUCCGUAGCGAUGGCUAAUUAAACCACUCCAAUCCGAUGUCCAAAAAACUGUAUGCUAGACACCGCCCUUCCAUUCUCCCCUUUAAUUGAACAGGCUUGUCGCCUGCUCUUGUAGCCCAUUGUUCUUCAAAUGUAAUUAGCCUUUGUGUUUUGACAGUAAAUAAGACUCUGGUACACCACUUUGACAAAUGCCUUGUUUCUGGGAAAGGAGUGUUUGUGAACACAAAACCCAGCCU